GCCAAACAGGAAGAGAAGCCGUUCUCAAAUGUGGGAACACUUUGAGCUGAUCAGUCCUAAUAAGGUCCAGUGCUUGCAUUGUUCCAUGCAAUUGGUGUAUAAUAACAAUACAUCCUCGAUGCUUAGGCAUACAGUGCUAAGCAUGAAAACAAGCAGGAGAACACUGUUCAUGUGGACCGAAAGCAGGACCUGGAUGAUCCAGGCUUCAAAGAGUUUGUGGGAAAGCUUGACCCCACAUACACUCUGCCUUCCAGACAGGCUCUGAAGAAGAUGGUGGGGGAGAAAUAUGAGGAGGAGAAGGCCAAAGCCAAGGCUCAACUGCAGAGCGUGGAGGCAGUGAGUCUGACCUCUGACAUGUGGACCUCCACGAAUAUGGAUGCAUAUCUGGCAGUAACUUGUCAUUGUGUGCUGACAUUCUAACUUAAUAAAG